GACGAACGCUGGCGGCGUGCUUAACACAUGCAAGUCGAACGGAAAGGCCCUGCUUUUGUGGGGUGCUCGAGUGGCGAACGGGUGAGUAACCCGUGAGUAACCUGCCCUGGCCUUUGGGAUAACUUCAGGAAACGGGGGCAAUUCCCGGAAGGGAGCUCCUCCUCCAGGGGGGGGGUGGGAAAGUUUCGGCGGUUGGGGAUGGACUCGCGGCUUAUCAGCUUGUUGGUGGGGUAGUGGCUUACCAAGGCUUUGACGGGUAGCCGGCCUGAGAGGGUGACCGGCCACAUUGGGACUGAGAUACGGCCCAGACUCCUACGGGAGGCAGCAGUGGGGAAUAUUGCACAAUGGGCGGAAGCCUGAUGCAGCAACGCCGCGUGCGGGAUGACGGCCUUCGGGUUGUAAACCGCUUUCGCCUGUGACGAAGCGUGAGUGACGGUAAUGGGUAAAGAAGCACCGGCUAACUACGUG
rnacentral:rRNA from 1 species